UUGAUAAAAUAUUUUGGAAUCCGUAAAGUAAAAAUAACAACAGCACAAAAGGAACCGGCAUCACAAAUCUGAGCCUCUAAAUACAGCUGAACAGUACUCUAAACAAAGAAAAUCUAGAUACGGAAACAAGGAAAGAUAAAAGGAGAGAUUAGGUCAUGCGGACGCCAGCAGCUACCUUGACAACCCCGGUAUAGAACUGAACGAGCAACAAAAAGUAGCAACUAUGCCUCCGGGAUCCCUGUAUCUGCGCACAAGGUGCAGGGAGUAGAGUGAGUACUUCCAACUCAGUGAGUAAUAGCAAAAAAUAAUAAUUGAAUGUAAGAAAUCCGGUAAAAACACUAUACAAUUCUAUUUUAAACGGCAGGAACAAUAAAUGAGUACCAAAGAGGGAGAAAAAAAUCUGUAAGAAAUCCGGUAAGGACACUAUACAGUCCGAUCCGAUCCAAUAUAUGUAUAUAAUAUUGCGACGUGCAGCCCGAUCCAAUAUAAUAUAUUAUUGCGCUCACUGUGGGGUGUGUGCAGACUCUGGAGGGGCUCCUUCAGCCCAAGCGCUAUAGUUCUGCGGCUUGCAGUCUGAUCCAUAUAAUAUUAGUCCGAUCCAUAUAAUAUAUUGUUGCGGCGUGCAACCUGAUCCAUAUAAUAUAUUGCUGCGGCGUGCAACCCCAUCCAUAUAAUAUAUAUACUGCGGCAUGUAGUCCGAUCCAUAUAAUAUAUAUAAUGUUGCGGCGUGCAGCCCGAUCCAAUAUAAUAUAUAUAAUGAUGCGGCGUGCAGCCUGAUCCAAUAUAAUAUAUGUAAUGUUGCGGUGUGUAACCCGAUCCAAUAUAAUAUAUAUAAUGUUGCGGCGUGCAGCCCGAUAUUUAGGGUGCAGGUUACUACGUUGAGUUUAUCUCAUUAUUUACAGUCAAAAGUCAGGACAGAUGGUAUGAGUCCAAUAGGUAAAGUGAGGUCAUUCGGCUAAAGAUGCUCACUAGGAGUACAGAUUGGCACAAGACCCCAAAUAUGGCAACUAGCCCAGAUUAUACGAGUACAAGCUCAGUCUCAGUCAAGAAGUUCAGUAAAUAAUUAGUCAGGAUGGACCAAGUCCGAGUCCCCAGUAGAUACAUCACCACGCUCGCCACAAGACGCAUGUCUCAUCUCAGCAUAGCACCGCAUAGUGCAAAUACGAGGUUUUAAACCCUCAGUAUAUCAUUCAUAACCAUUACUCACCUCGAACCGGCCAAAAAUCCUAGCUCGCCUUGCGCUUUCCUCGCAAAUCGACCUCCUCGGGUGUGAAAUCUGAUCAAAACCACAAGGAAUAUAUUAUAAUAAGCUAAUGGGACAUAACCCAAUAGAAAGAACUCGAAAAACACCAAAAAACACGAAGUUGGCAAAACCCGAGCCCCAUACCUGCUUCUCAAAAAAUUACAAAAUUCACAUCAUCGUAAUCCUCGUCUCGCCACGAGUCCAUACAUAUAAAAUUCAUCGAAAUCGGAAAAUACGAGUUGGCAAAACUCGAGCCCCGGGCCCACUUCUCAAAAAAAUACAAAAUUCACAUCACCGGAAUCCUUGUCUCGCCAUGAGUCCAUACAUAUAAAAUUUAUCAAAAUCGGAGUCCAAAUGGGCCAUCAAAUCCCCAAUUUCAUUUCAAAACUAAGCCCUAGUUUCUUCAAUUUUUACCCAAAUUUCAGAGAAUUAAUGAAUGAUUCUUCGAUUAAAUGACGUAUUUAGGUCACGAGACUUACCUUCAAUCACUUCCCAUCGAAAUCCCCUUCAGAAUCUACCAACAAGCUCUCAAGGUGGUGCAAAACUGGAGGAUAAUGAUAGGUUCGCGAAUGAUUUUUUUUUCAUUCAAAGUCUUAUGUCCAGGUGAAUCUCUUCUAUGCGAUCGCAUCCCCUGGCUUGCGAUCGCAGAGCACAAAUUUAAUCCCUCCAAUUUUCCUCAUAUGCGAUCGCAAUAGACCCCAUGCGAUUGCAAUGAACCCAGGCCUCCAACUACGCAAUCGCAUCCUUACCUCUGCGAACGCACAAGACUACUUCACAAUACUGUGAGAUCGCAUAGACACUUACGCUAUCGCACAACACAAAAAUAGGACCCAGACCCAACCUCCUAUACGAUCGCAAUGGCUCCUUGCGAUCGCAUAGAACUGCAACAGCUGAAGCCCAAUCUGCAACUUUCAACCAUGCAAACGCUCUCCGAUAACCACUCGAAACCAUCCUGAGGCCCUCGGGACCUCAACCAAAGGCACCAACAUACCCCAAAAC
rnacentral:lncRNA from 1 species